rnacentral:rRNA from 1 species
GACGAACGCUGGCGGCGUGCUUAACACAUGCAAGUCGAGCGGUAAGGCCCUUUCGGGGGUACACGAGCGGCGAACGGGUGAGUAACACGUGGGUGACCUGCCCUCAGCUCUGGGAUAAGCCUGGGAAACCGGGUCUAAUACCGGAUAUGACUCCAUGACGCAUGUUGUGGGGUGGAAAGCCUUGUGCGGCUGAGGAUGGGCCCGCGGCCUAUCAGCUUGUUGGUGGGGNGAUGGCCUACCAAGGCGACGACGGGUAGCCGGCCUGAGAGGGCGACCGGCCACACUGGGACUGAGACACGGUCCGGACUCCUACGGGAGGCAGCAGUGGGGAAUAUUGGACAAUGGGGAAACCCUGAUCCAGCGACGCCGCGUGGGUGAAGAAGGCCUGCGGGUUGUAAAG